CUACAGUGCGACAUAAAAGAGAUGAAAUUAAUUAAUUUGGAACUAAUUUUUUUUUCAUUAUCUGGCAACCCUAAAUUUUCAAUGCAGCUGUCAAAUUGAAUAAAAAUUUGUUGUUUUUUUGGUGAAGUUGAGAAUUCUUAAGAUAAAAUUGUAAUUUUGAACAAGAAAUUUACUCAAAAAAGGAGAAAUCAUGAAAAAGGUUAAACGUAGCGGUGUCCGUGAUGCCAUGUAUAAAGUUUUAAUUCGGUGUUUCUCAUAAUUUCAAGCUGAAAAACGAGAAAAAUAUUUGGAAAACGUUUUAAAACGUACAGCAGAUUAUACCGGUGAGAUUCCAUUUGUUUUUGCUCAGUACUACGUAAAAUAGAAUAUUCUAUUAGUGACGAGUGUUUAAUGGGUUUCUGAAAGCACAGUACGCAGGAUAGUGGAGCAAUGGAGUAAAAAUGAGUGAGAAUAUCUACAAAAAAUAAAUAAAAAUAUGUAGUUUUCAAAUCA